rnacentral:rRNA from 1 species
UACGGAGGGUGCGAGCGUUGUCCGGAAUUAUUGGGCGUAAAGAGCUCGUAGGCGGCUUGUUGCGUCGACUGUGAAAACCCGCGGCUCAACCGUGUGGCUUGCAGUCGAUACGGGCAGGCUAGAGUUCGGUAGGGGAGACUGGAAUUCCUGGUGUAGCGGUGAAAUGCGCAGAUAUCAGGAGGAACACCAAUUGCGAAGGCAGCUCGCUGGGACGUUACUGACGCUGAGACGCGAAAGCGUGGGGAGCAAACAGG